GACGAACGCUGGCGGCGUGCUUAACACAUGCAAGUCGAGCGGAAAGGCCCUUCGUGGUACUCGUGCUGCGAACGGGUGAGUAACACGUGAGUAACCUUCCCCAGACUUUGGGAUAACCCUCGGUAACGGGGGCUAAUACCGGAUACGGCUCAGCUUCGCAUCUGGUCUGUGUGGAAAGUUUUUCGGUUUGGGAUGGGCUCGCGGCCUAUCAGCUUGUUGGUGGGGUGGUGGCCUACCAAGGCGACGACGGGUAGCCGGCCUGAGAGGGCGACCGGCCACACUGGGACUGAGACACGGCCCAGACUCCUACGGGAGGCAGCAGUGGGGAAUAUUGCACAAUGGGCGGAAGCCUGAUGCAGCGACGCCGCGUGAGGGAUGACGGCCUUCGGGUUGUAAACCGCUUUCGGCAGGGACGAAGCGUAAGUGACGGUACCUGCAGAAGAAGCGCCGGCCAACUACGUG
rnacentral:rRNA from 1 species